rnacentral:lncRNA from 1 species
CGGGGGCGCCCAACCGAUCCAUGGUUGGUGGGCCCCCGACGCGCUGCGCUAUAUAAACAGGAGUGGGGGCCGCAGGCACGUUUGACGAAGUUCGCCGUGCACACAACCCCACUCGACAAAUCCUAGGCCUUCCGAUCGGCUUGCGCAGUGGCGUCGGGAAGCACCACCGCGCCGCCUCCGUUCUACUACUACCCCGUCGUCGGUCAGUGCCGGUGGAGGCCCGAAGGACGACGUGAUCUACAUCGGCGCAGCACCUACACUCACACCAUGGACGUCUCCGGAUCUGCUCCUUCCACCAACGACGGUCGAAACCCUAAACUAUUGAUCUAUAUGUUUCUACUAAAUUGUAAUAGAUCUAGUGUAUGCACAUAUAUAUAAAUGUCACUGUAUGCAUUGUUUUAUCCCGAAACCCCGUUCAUCCUAUUGCUAGUAGAUCCUGUAGAUCCAUCAAUGGUAUCAGCCGAUCUAGUAAUAGAUCGGGGUUUUCGGGUUUUACCCAGCAAGAACAGCAAGUAGAAGGAGAGGAUUUUCGAAUUCCUAACCCUAGCGCUCAGAUCCAAAACCCCAACCCUAGCACAAGAACCAGAUCAGGGAAGGGGAUUUCAAAACCCUAACCCUAAACAGCAAGGGGAAGGAGUACCCUUACCUGGGACCCACCUAUCCCGACCUCGUCUCCGGCCGUUUCUCCAUGGCGGGCGGGACGCACGGGCAAGCUCAGGGCACCGCACACGAAACGCUCGACGGCGGCGCGCUCCGCAGUGAGCGAGCGCGCGCACCGGCGAGCGACCCGUUAGCGGCGCCAUCUCCUUCUCCGGCCGGUAGCGUUCUGCUGUGGGGCGCGGUGUGGGCUGGGGAGAAAAGCACAGAGAAAGAGAAAGAAAGGCACCAGCGGCUCCUUCUCACCGGCGUCGGGCCACCUCGGCCGUGGCUGCUGUAGGCGUUGUGCGCCGUCAAGAAGCAAGAGAGAGAGGGCGACGGCGGUGGCCCUGCUGCCGGGCACGGUGCCGGCGGCGGCGGCUCCCUGCUGUCCAUGCGCUGAGAGAGAGAGACAGAGAAGAGAGAGAGAGGGCGACGGCAAGAAUGAGGGCUAGGGUUUCAAGGGUCGAGCCGGCCUGGGGGUUUUGUUUCCCCGAAAUCGAAGGACGGCCGUUGGAUCUUGAUCAACGGCCACGGUCGAUCUGGGCCGCUUUUGGCCCAGGCGGGGGCGUAGAUUCCCGGCCCAGGCCCAGGUUGCGGCCUGGGCGCGGGGAGAGCAAGCGGCCGGCUGGCCAACUGGGCCAAAUUCGGCCUAACUGGGCCGCGAGCCUCCAGUCAGCGAAGAAGAAAAAAAAAAACAGGCAGGCCUGGGCGCUGCGCGCUGCUCCGCGCGCCGAGCUGGGCCGCAAGCGACCGUGGGCCGAAUCGUUGGCCGCGACAUGUUUAAGCACAGAAAUUUCUUUUUUCAUAUUCCAUUUUAUUUUCAGAAGCAUUUAAAUAAUGUUUUGCUCAGUUUUAAAUUCUAUUUAAUUUGCACCAACGUGUAUAUUAUCUAGAAAAGCACAGUCAGCAAGUUAUGCUUCUGAAAAUAGCAAAAAAAUUAAUGUUUUCCGCUGCGCAAGUUAUAUUUUAAUUCUCCUAUUAAAUUGAACCAACGGGACAUUUAAUUUGAGAAACGAGUUUUUAAAGCCCAGUAUUUUUGUGAUAUUGUUAUUUUUUGACCAACGUUAAUAAUAACAAUAUUGCAAAUUUCGAGUUCUAAUUUUAUGCAUAUAUUCUAUUCUGCCCAACGGUGAUUAGAAUUUAUGUAGAGAGUUAACUUUUUGUAUAUCUUGAUUUUGACCAACGUUAAAUUAAGAUAUGCAAUUAUUUUUUCCUAGAUUUAAUGUUAAUGUUCUCACUAUUUUCUCAUAUUUAAUUUCAGACCAAGCACUCAAUGCGAUGCACUUCAUCAGUGCAAUCCCAAAGCUGACGGGGCAGAACUAUGUUCUGUGGCGCGAGGAACUUGAUGCUGCUCUAGCACUUGCUGAGAUAGAUUUGGCUCUUCAGGAGCCAAAGCCCACUGAGCCAAAGGAGCCCGAAAGGGCUCAGAAUGAGACCGAUGAAGCUUUUGCUAAUCGGAAGCGAGACUUUGCUCCCAUCAGAGCAAAGUAUGAUCUUGAGAAGUACAAGUGGGAAAAGUCAAACCGCAAGUGCAAGAUUGUCAUCAAGAAAACCAUCACAGAGGGCCUAAGAGGUGCCAUCCCAGAAUGUGAGACAGCAAAAGAAUACCUUGAGAAAGUAAAGAAUCAGUUUACUGGUUCCACCAAAGCCCAUGCUUCCACCCUGAUCCAGAAACUCACUAACAUGAGGUUCACAGGGGGGAGUGUGAGAGAGCACAUUCUGAGCAUGAGCACCAUGGCAGCCAAGUUAGAGAAGCUAAAGAUGCCCCUUGCUGAUGGUUUCCUCAUUCACCUAGCUCUAAACUCACUUCCUAAAGAGUAUGAGACUUUUGUUGUUAACUACAACACACAGCCAGAGGAGUGGGAUUUAGAGAAAGUGAUUGCUAUGUGUGUGCAAGAGGAAGAAAGGCUCAAGAAUGCAAAUGGUGGUUCUGUGAACUUUGUGAAAGGAAAGAACAAGAAGCCAUUCUACAACAAGAAAGCUCCAGAUGCCUCCACCUCCCAGAACAAGGGAGGAAGCUCUUCACAGCCUAAAGCACAGCCAAAGCAAGACAACCAGCACAGGCAGGAGGACCCGGAUCGCUGUAGAUGGUGUAAUGAGACAGGGCAUUGGAAGCAUGACUGCCCUAAGUUCAUGAAACAUUGCCUAGUGAAAGGUGAGGACAUUAUAACUUUUGUUGAUGAAUCCUUAUAUCUAAGUUAUGCUAGAUCCACAUGGUGGAUUGACUCAGGUGCAACUGUUCAUGUUGCAAACUCUUUGCAGGGAUUCAGUGGAGGGAGAACCCUUCAAAGAGGAGAAAGACAGAUUAAGGUGGCCACUGGUGUUGAAGCUGAAGUUCAAGCUAUAGGAAAUUUAUCUCUAGAUUUAGCUAGUGGCUUCACCCUUGAGUUGCAUGAUGUUCUUUAUGUUCCCUCUUUAGCUAGAAAUUUAAUUUCAGUUUCAUGUUUGUCAGACUAUGGUUUUGAUUGCCAUUUCAGCAAGAAUGAUUGUAAGCUACAGUUAAAUAAUAAAUGUGUGGGUCUUGCCUUCCGACAAGACAAACUUUAUUUAUUAUCUUUGUCUGAGAAUGUGAAUGCUGAAUGUAAUAACGCUGAGAAUGCAAUACCCGCAGAUGCUAGCAAGAAAAGAAAGAGAAUUGAUUCCUCAUCGAAAUUAUGGCACUGUCGUUUAGGCCAUAUUUCGAGGGGGAGAAUAGAACGCUUAGUCAAAGAAUCAAUCCUCCCACCAUUAGAACUCUCAGAGUUAGAGCAAUGCGUUGAUUGCAUUAAAGGCAAGUUAGUAAAGAACAUAAAGAAAGGCGCUAAGCGAAGCAUGGGAGUACUAGAAUUGAUCCACACAGACAUCUGUGGACCUUUUCCAGUGACAUUUGUGGAUGGUUUUGAUUCCUUCAUCACAUUCACAGAUGACUACUCUCGUUUUGGAUACAUCUAUCCAAUCAAAGAACGCUCAGAAGCUUUAGACAAAUUUAAGAUAUUCAAGGCUGAGGUUGAAAACCAACUAGACAGAAAAAUCAAAGUAGUAAGAUCUGACCGUGGGGGGGAGUACUACGGUCGACAUACCCCUUAUGGACAAGUUCCUGGACCUUUUGCAAGGUUCUUACAGGAAAAUGGCAUAGUAGCCCAGAAUUCAAUGCCAGGGGACCCACAGCAGAAUGGAGUAGCAGAAAGGCGUAACCGUACUCUAAUGGAUAUGGUGCGCAGCAUGAUGAGCUAUUCCACUCUGCCACUGAGUUUGUGGAUGGAGGCCUUAAAAACCGCCAUUCAUAUUCUCAACAGAGUUCCAAGCAAGUCAGUACUUAAAACCCCGUAUGAGUUGUGGACCGGCAGGAAACCCUCAGUCAACCAUCUGCGUGUCUGGGGGAGCCCCGCUGAAGCAAAAGUGUUUAACCCAAACAUAGGAAAGCUAGACCCCAAAACAGUAAGUUGUCAUUUCAUUGGCUAUCCAGAAAAGUCGAAAGGUUAUCGUUUCUACUGCCCUGGUAGACAUACCAAGUUUGUGGAAACGAGACACGCUAGUUUUCUAGAAGAUCAGAUGAUCAGGGGGAGCAAGGCAGCGCGAGAAAUUAACCUUGAAGAGAAGCGGGUGUUCGUGCCCAUUCCCAUGGUGCAAGAACCCUACUUUACGCUGCCUGUUGUUGUUGGAUCUACACCAGUAGUGACAACACCUGCUGCCUUUUCGCCUAUGGCCAAUUUGGAACCUGUCCCUCAGGAGCCGAAUGAACCCAUAGUCGAAGAACAACAGCCCCAACAAGAGCAACCUCAAGAAGAAAUGCCAGUAGCAGAAACUUCUGGCAGACCUCAAAGAGCGAGAAAGUCUCCUAUUCCAGAUGACUAUAUAGUCUAUGAAUGCGAAGAAGUUCAGAUGGAGGAUGAACCCACUUCAUUUGAAGAAGCCAUGAGGAGCACCGAAGCAUCUAAGUGGCAAGAAGCCAUGGAAGAUGAAUUAAAGUCUAUGAGUACCAAUAAAGUUUGGGACCUAGAGAAAAUUCCUGAAGGAGCCAAAACAGUAGGCUGCAAAUGGGUCUACAAGGUGAAACGUGACUCCAAAGGGAACAUAGAAAGGUACAAAGCAAGACUGGUAGCCAAGGGUUUUACUCAGCGAGAAGGGAUAGAUUAUAAUGAAACAUUCUCUCCCGUCUCGAGCAAGGACUCUUUUAGAAUCAUAAUGGCCCUAGUGGCACAUUUUGAUCUAGAAUUGCAUCAAAUGGAUGUGAAGACAGCUUUCCUCAAUGGGGAUCUAGAAGAAAGAGUAUACAUGGCACAACCGAAAGGUUUUGUUGUGACAGGCAAAGAAAGAAUGGGCUGUCGCCUGAAGAAAUCCAUUUAUGGAUUAAAGCAAGCAUCCAGGCAGUGGUAUUUAAAGUUUGAUAAGACAAUCAGAAAGUUUGGGUUUACAGAGAACGUUGAGGACAAUUGCGUAUAUGCAAAGUUUAAGAAUGGGAAAUACAUUUUCCUAGUACUGUAUGUAGAUGACAUUCUACUAGCCAGUAGUGAUGUCACUCUACUGCAGGAAACCAAGAGAUUUUUGUCCUCAAAUUUCGAUAUGAAAGAUUUAGGUGAAGCUUCUUUUGUCUUGGGCAUAAAGAUUCACCGAGAUAGAAGUCGAGGGGUAUUGGGAUUGUCCCAAGAGGCAUAUAUAGAGAAAAUAUUGAAGAAAUUCAAUAUGCAUAAGUGUAGACCUUCACCUGCUCCUAUUGUAAAAGGUGACAAGUAUGGGGAACAUCAAUGUCCCAAGAGCAAGUUCGAGCGCGAUCGCAUGCAAGCCGUUCCAUACGCUUCAGCUGUCGGAAGCUUACAGUAUGCUCAAGUGUGCACACGCCCAGACCUGGCUUUUGUGACCGGGUUACUUGGUAGAUAUCAAAGUAAUCCAGGUAUGGAACACUGGAAUCUAGUAAAGAAAGUCUUAAGGUACUUGCAAGGCACGAAAGGGCUCAUGUUAACCUAUAGAAGAUCUGAUGACCUACAAAUAGUAGGGUAUUCAGAUUCUGAUUACGCGGGAGAUGAUAGAAAGUCUACCUCAGGGUAUGUAUUCACUCUCGCGCAAGGAGCCAUAUCAUGGAAGAGCUCAAAACAAACAAUAGUCACUGCAUCGUCCACAAUGUAUGCUGAGUUUAUUGCUUGUUAUGAGGCAUCAGGACAGGUGAAUUGGCUUAAGAAAUUUAUACCCAGUUUAAAGGUGGUCGACAGCAUUGAUAAACCACUAAAGUUGUAUUGUGACAACGAGCCAGCAGUGUUGUAUGCUCACAACAAAAAGUCAAGCAAUGCAGCCAAGCACAUUGACAUAAAAUAUUAUGUUGUCAAGGAUAAAAUCCGGGAUCACGUCAUAAGUCUUGAACAUAUAAGCACAGAAAAGAUGCUAGCGGAUCCGCUUACCAAAGGCUUACCGCCCAACGUGUUCAGAGAACAUGUAGCCGGCAUGGGUUUAAGGGAAAGCCUGUGAUUCCUGGAUAGUAAGGGGCCCAAGGCGAGAAUUCAUCUCUAAAUAGAAAAGUGUUUGUGGCUGUCUAAUCUAGCAGUGAUAACUGUCAAGAUGAAGCAUGCUCAAUACACUGAUUUGUGAUGGGGUGAGUUGACAAAGCGAGAUAGCACAGUUGAGAUCAAGGGGGAGAAUGUUAGGUUGAUCUCAGGCCCAGCCCAACGGCUGGGGCCUCUUACCCCCUGGAUCGCGCCCUGAUCGGGGGCGCCCAACCGAUCCAUGGUUGGUGGGCCCCCGACGCGCUGCGCUAUAUAAACAGGAGUGGGGGCCGCAGGCACGUUUGACGAAGUUCGCCGUGCACACAACCCCACUCGACAAAUCCUAGGCCUUCCGAUCGGCUUGCGCAGUGGCGUCGGGAAGCACCACCGCGCCGCCUCCGUUCUACUACUACCCCGUCGUUGGUCAGUGCCGGUGGAGGCCCGAAGGACGACGUGAUCUACAUCGGCGCAGCACCUACACUCACGCCAUGGACGUCUCCGGAUCUGCUCCUUCCACCAACGACGGUCGAAACCCUAAACUAUUGAUCUAUAUGUUUCUACUAAAUUGUAAUAGAUCUAGUGUAUGCACAUAUAUAUAAAUGUCACUGUAUGCAUUGUUUUAUCCCGAAACCCCGUUCAUCCUAUUGCUAGU